GCGGGGGACUCAGGAACUGAUGGUUGAGUCACACGUAGCCGCUCGCUGACGACUGUGCCUUUGACAUGUAUUAUCACCGUGAAGCGGUUGUUAGACAGUUACAGAGGUGAAAAGACAUAUUCGGGCUGCGUGGCCCUUGAGUAUCAAACGAAGGAGCAGAUGUGUGAAACUCUGGUAGAUUCCAGGCCUGUUUACCCCUCGCUGUAUCCGGUGGUGUCACGGAUCAUCGACGUUGAUGCGGACGUUCCCAUCACUCGGCGGAGAUGUGAUGAGCUGUUGUAGAGCUGCGAUGGAUGCACAGUCCCAGAGGAAACUGUCAAAAGUCCGGGAAAAUCAGGCCACAUCAGUGUUAAAAGAUUCAGUCCUGGUGGAUGGGGUGUUGCCAUGCUACGUGGAGGACACCAAAGGCGCUUGAAGAGACAAUGAUGCUAACACACAAAGAAAAACAAUAUCGAGAAGCGGGGGUCCAGGCAGCAUAACUCCUGAUGAGCUAUGUUGACUAUCAUGUUCUCUGUCCUUCAGCUCUUCAGUCACACAAGUCAUCAUGUUCCUCACCUUCACCUUUACUGGACUGUAUAUGACAUGGAUUUGGCUGCAACCAAGAGUCCUGAUUAAUAUAGCACUGUAGGAUGUUG